GACGAACGCUGGCGGCGUGCCUAAUACAUGCAAGUAGAACGCUGAAGAGAGGAGCUUGCUCUUCUUGGAUGAGUUGCGAACGGGUGAGUAACGCGUAGGUAACCUGCCUUGUAGCGGGGGAUAACUAUUGGAAACGAUAGCUAAUACCGCAUAACAAUGGAUGACACAUGUCAUUUAUUUGAAAGGGGCAAUUGCUCCACUACAAGAUGGACCUGCGUUGUAUUAGCUAGUAGGUGAGGUAAUGGCUCACCUAGGCGACGAUACAUAGCCGACCUGGGAGGGUGAUCGGCCACACUGGGACGGAGACACGGCCCAGACUCCUACGGGGGGCAGCAGUAGGGAAUCUUCGGCAAUGGGGGCAAGCCUGACCGAGCAACGCCGCGGGAGUGAAGAAGGUUGUCGGAUCGUAAAGCUCGGUUGUAAGUCAAGAACGGGUGUGAGAGUGGAAAGUUCACACUGUGACGGUAGCUUACCAGAAAGGGACGGCUAACUACGUG
rnacentral:rRNA from 1 species